GCCCGUGCGGUGUGACGGUCGCAUCCCAGCCUGUGGAGCUGGUGGAGGGGGUUCGACUCCCCCCAUGGGCA
rnacentral:tRNA from 1 species